UACGUAGGGUGCAAGCGUUGUCCGGAAUUAUUGGGCGUAAAGAGCUCGUAGGCGGUUUGUCGCGUCGAAUGUGAAAACCCGGGGCUCAACCCCGGGCCUGCAUUCGAUACGGGCAGACUAGAGUUCGGUAGGGGAGUCUGGAAUUCCUGGUGUAGCGGUGAAAUGCGCAGAUAUCAGGAGGAACACCGGUGGCGAAGGCGGCACUCUGGGCCGGUACUGACGCUGAGGAGCGAAAGCGUGGGUAGCAAACAGG
rnacentral:rRNA from 1 species